rnacentral:misc_RNA from 1 species
GGGAGACCAUUUUUAGUGAUUCAUACUACUAAGGGCUAAUUAGAGAUGUAUCACCAGAAUGCUUUGAAUGGUGGUAGAUUGCCUUUCUUGGUCUCUGAUACUGCUGAAAAGAUUGGAGUGACGGCUAACUGUAAAUUGUACCAGAGUAGAGACUAGAUAUAUGUGCAAGGGUCGUGGAAUUUCCGUUCUCUAUCAAGUUGAACCUCUUUAGCUCUACUUCAACUCUUUCUCUGUAAUUUCUUCUUGCACGGUGUAAUAACUGUCAGUUUUUGACUGGA